rnacentral:rRNA from 1 species
AGUGAACGCUGGCGGUAGGCCUAACACAUGCAAGUCGAACGGCAGCACAGGAGAGCUUGCUCUCUGGGUGGCGAGUGGCGGACGGGUGAGGAAUACAUCGGAAUCUACUCUGUCGUGGGGGAUAACGUAGGGAAACUUACGCUAAUGCCGCAUACGACCUACGGGUGAAAGCAGGGGACCUUCGGGCCUUGCGCGAUUGAAUGAGCCGAUGUCGGAUUAGCUAGUUGGCGGGGUAAAGGCCCACCAAGGCGACGAUCCGUAGCUGGUCUGAGAGGAUGACCAGCCACACUGGAACUGAGACACGGUCCAGACUCCUACGGGAGGCAGCAGUGGGGAAUAUUGGACAAUGGGCGCAAGCCUGAUCCAGCCAUACCGCGUGGGUGAAGGAGGCCUUCGGGUUGUAAAGCCCUUUUGUUGGGAAAGAAAUCCAGCUGGCUAAUACCCGGUUGGGAUGACGGUACCCAAAGAAUAAGCACCGGCUAACUUCGUGCCAGCCGCCGCCGUAA